rnacentral:misc_RNA from 1 species
GCAUUGCAGAGCCCUCUUCAAACAAUUCUUCCACGACACCAACCGCAGAAAGCUUAUUAGACCUAGCAUUUUGUGAUCUCCUCCUGAAGAGAAAAGAGGUGAGCAAAUUUUGCUUCUUCCUAGGUGUUGGAGGCAAGAUAGGAUGGUCAUAAGGAAUAAUAUCAACAACCAAACAGGUUGUAUCAUCCUUCAGACCUCUUGACCUUACUGCUUCCUUCACAACCAGCUUUGCCGCAAGUUCUGCCGGUAAACCUCUGCAAGACUGUGCUGCCAAAUCCGAUGUUAAAGCAUCCCAUAUACCAUCCGACGCUAUAAUAAGCCUCCCACCAGCAUUUGAAAUCUUCACUUGUUUCACAUGCGGUACUGGAACGAUAAACUCCCCAACAUCCGUAUCACCAAUAGACCUUGAAAGGCACAACCCACCAGGCCAGCAACGCAGAGGUCCAACCUCAUUACCCCCAAAAACAUUGAGUCUUCCUACUUGACCACCACUUGCAGUUACACGCUGCCGUUCCUCCUCAUUCUCUUCUAAUCGAUGGUCAACAGUCAACAAAGAAAUCACACCUCCUUGGGUGUCCAGUAUGCACCUGGAAUCUCCAACUGAUGCAACAGUGAUCGUCCACCCAUCGAUCACAACAAAAGUCACGGUAGUCCCAGAUGUUUCACCUUUUUGCUGAAACUCUAUAUCAGUCUUCACAAAUCCCGCAACUAAAGCACGAGGAAGUGCUUGAAGCCACUCUUCCCUACUAAUUCCUUCAGGGAUAGCACUCAAUACAUUGUUUAAUAGAUUCUCUUUGGCAAAAAUAGCAGCCGAUAUACCAUUAUGCCCAUCAAAAAUCGCGAAAACUGAAAAUGAAGUCAACGGAUUUCCCGGAAUCCUCUGACAAUCAGGCUUAAUCAAGAAACAGUCUUCCCCUUUCUUUGCCAAAGCAGCCUGUCCAUACUUUAUUGUAGGCUGUUCCACUUUAUCAUUCCUCAACUCCCGACCAAUAAGUGUCCCUAGAGACACCGAAGUUGCAUUUUGCUUCAUCUUCGUAAUCUCCGCCUCACUCAUUCUUUCACUCCCUGUUCCGACAUUCUGCAAAUCCUAAUUCCCCAAUUUCCAAAAACAUGAGAACACAAUCACUCGUUAUCCACGCUGAUCUGGAAACCAGAUUAAUUGGAGAAAAUAUACAGAGAAAUUGUAAGCAUUGAAGAAGAAUUGAAGUAUGAAAAAGCAAAUGAAUUUGGUUGAGUUAUGAGCUGGAUCCGAAUGUUGAAAACGAAACCCUAGUGAGAGAGAAUGAUUUGAUUGGGGGAAGAAGAAAAAUCUAGAGAGAGAAAGAGAAAGGAAACGCGAGGAGAAAAAAAGGUAAAUUUCG